rnacentral:rRNA from 1 species
GCUCAGGAUGAACGCUAGCUACAGGCUUAACACAUGCAAGUCGAGGGGAAACGACAUCGAAAGCUUGCUUUUGAUGGGCGUCGACCGGCGCACGGGUGAGUAACGCGUAUCCAACCUGCCCACCACUUGGGAAUAACCUUGCGAAAGUAAGACUAAUACCCAAUGACGUCUCUAGAAGACAUCUGAAAGAGAUUAAAGAUUUAUCGGUGAUGGAUGGGGAUGCGUCUGAUUAGCUUGUUGGCGGGGUAACGGCCCACCAAGGCUACGAUCAGUAGGGGUUCUGAGAGGAAGGUCCCCCACAUUGGAACUGAGACACGGUCCAAACUCCUACGGGAGGCAGCAGUGAGGAAUAUUGGUCAAUGGACGAGAGUCUGAACCAGCCAAGUAGCGUGCAGGAUGACGGCCCUAUGGGUUGUAAACUGCUUUUAUAAGGGAAUAAAGUGAGUCUCGUGAGACUUUUUGCAUGUACCUUAUGAAUAAGGACCGGCUAAUUCCGUGCCAGCAGCCGCGGUAAUACGGAAGGUCCGGGCGUUAUCCGGAUUUAUUGGGUUUAAAGGGAGCGUAGGCCGGAGAUUAAGCGUGUUGUGAAAUGUAGAUGCUCAACAUCUGCACUGCGGCGCGAACUGGUUUCCUUGAGUACGCACAAAGUGGGCGGAAUUCGUGGUGUAGCGGUGAAAUGCUUAGAUAUCACGAAGAACUCCGAUUGCGAAGGCAGCUCACUGGAGCGCAACUGACGCUGAAGCUCGAAAGUGCGGGUAUCGAACAGGAUUAGAUACCCUGGUAGUCCGCACGGUAAACGAUGGAUGCCCGCUGUUGGUCUGAAUAGGUCAGCGGCCAAGCGAAAGCAUUAAGCAUCCCACCUGGGGAGUACGCCGGCAACGGUGAAACUCAAAGGAAUUGACGGAAGGG